rnacentral:rRNA from 1 species
GACGAGGGGUCCAAGCGUUGUUCGGAAUCAUUGGGCGUAAAGCGGGUGUAGGUGGCUUUGUAAGUCAGGAGUGAAAUCCCCGAGCUUAACUCGGGAAGUGCUUUUGAAACUGCAGAGCUUGAGUGUGGGAGAGGAAGGUGGAAUUCCACGUGUAGCGGUGAAAUGCGUAGAGAUGUGGAGGAACACCGAUGGCGAAGGCAGCCUUCUGGGCCAAUAUUGACGCUCAUGCACGAAAGCGUGGGGAGCAAACAGG